rnacentral:lncRNA from 1 species
AUCGAGGCAUAACCAUUGACAUCACCAUUCUCACCCUUUCCCUCUCUCUCUCCUCCUCUCCUCCUCUCCUCCUCUCCUCCUCUCUCACUCACAACCUUCUUCCUCUUCAGCCCCCUCCUCCACAUUAUUUCAUUCUCUACCUAAUUUUAAGGCUUAAGGCUAUGCCGAUGGCUGUCGAAGUAGCGAAAUCAGAAACCCUAGCCCCAAUCUCAAAUAAACUAAUGUUUCGGUAGAAGCAACCAUCGAAUCGAACAUUUUAGGAGGAACAGAGUCAUCUUGCAGCAACGAGGAAUGCGACAAAUUGCUUAAGUAAGCAAGUUUUUAUUUGGGUGUUCAUACAUUAAUUCUCGCCAAAAACAACGUAAUUUGUAGAGCAAUCAAAUUUCAUGGUAAUUUCAUUUGUUUAAGUUAAUGUGUAUUCUUUUUUAAUUCUGCCAUUUUUACUUAUUCAUAUUUAUCUCUCUCUUCAGUUUAGGUUAGUGUUUAGGAGAAAGUUAAAAGUUUAUAUGCAAAGGGACUGAGACAGGGACUGAGCUAGAUAGCAAUGAUGAUAAGGUACAAAAGGAAACCAGCCUUGUUGGUGAUGGAGAGUAGGGGGUGUGUUUGAGCCUUGUUCUGGUUCUUUUAUUAAAAUCAUCAAAUAUUGGUAAUCCAUUUCAUUUCACCAUAUAUUAACAAUAUCAUAUACAUAACAUAGGGUAACUUGUGGUAACAGGAAGGAUCAUUUGCACAAUAUAGGGUUUGGCAUAGUCCUUCAGGUGCAGUUUUCUAUUUUGUGAGCCAGUACAUUUCAUUUCAGGUUAUUUUAGGGGUUAUGCUUGUUUCUCUUUGAAUCUCGGUUGUUGGUUUUAUUUUUCUGACACUUUAAGUGCAGAGAGCAUUCUCGUCUAAUGCUUCUUGUUAUUGAUCAAGCAAAAAAUUUAAGUUUGCUUCUGAAACAGUUUUGGCAUGCAAUAUAUUGCAUUGUGAUACCCUUUCAAGUUGUAUCCUCGUGUGAAAUAAAGAAUGUUGUUAUAUUGUACAAAGUCAUCAGUUAUAUUUUUUCAAUUCAAAGAUUCUUGUUAUGGCACUAUAUGAUAUUUUACUUUCUCUUAUCUGUUACUCUUUUAAAGUAGUAGACAUCAGUUGUUAGUAAAGUAGUAUCUGUUUAUUUGGUGUAAUAAUACUAAUAAAAAUACCAACUGUACUAUCAAGAAGUCAUGUCCAAUUAUAGUAAAUUUUGAGUAUAGCUUUGAAGUUAAUAAAGCAAAAUAUCAAAAUUGGUUCAGUUCUUGUAGAACUCUUGAAAUUUGAUUGCGGGAGGAUUAAAACUCACUCCCAUAAGUUUAUAACAUUAGAUUUCAAGGUUUACCCUUGAUGAAAAUCAUACCCAACAACUAGAGUUUUUUGCUUUGUAUAAGAAAGCCAUGACCAUGCUGGAAACAAGCCUUGCCAUCUUGUAAAAGCAGGUGGACUGGUAGCCACAACAAUACUAAUUACAAACUUCAUGAGUAUAUUAAAAUUAAGCAAAGUUAACGAACUUGCUGCUAAGUCCCACAGAAUCUUCGCCAACCUUUCAUCUGUUGCAAAUUUGCUUGCAUCCAGUCAUUGCAGCCCUCAAAAUUCUUCCCAAUUGCACCUUUUCACUUUGGGUGGAGUGCUAUAUAUCAAGAAGUGGCUGCCCCUUGAAAAGAAUGGUAUCCUUAAGCUAUGUUCGGAACUCAUAAAUCUUUAAGAAAUUAUUAGUGAUUUACAUGCAUUUAUUUUACUUUAAACUUGUUAUGCUCUAGUUACUACUUUGAGAUGGAUGAUUAAUGCAUUAGGUAGAGUGCAUUCAGCUAAAGGAAACAUCCACGACAAUAGAAAAUUCAGUUUAUUUUGUAAACUGUUCUUUAGUUUUGUGAUAGCUGCUGAUUCUGUUGAGUCUUGCUUUGCUGCUUGCAUGAGAAGAGUAAAGAAUCGAUAUUUCCGGUAUAUAGAAAAUUGUUAUGAAUUUAGUUAGUUUUUAUAGUUUGAUUUUUUCCGAAAUGAGGUCAUUUCAAUGUUGAUUGCCUUUGGAUCUGAGUUUUUGAAGGCUGUCUACAUGCAUUACUAAACUGAGAAAGUUUAGUUAUUUAACAUGAACUGUUACUAUUAUAGUGAAAAGAGAAAUUUUUUUAACAUAUUUCCUGCUAAUUGUUUGGAACAGCGGACAUGGUUAUGGCUAAUAUUUGAUAUACUCUAGCAAACUCACUAGAGUAGUUUUGUUUGAGUUGAAGGUAAUUGAGCUUCAACUUCCCUCAUAAAUUCUGUAAGUAUAGUCCAACUUCAGUAUAUAACUUUUUAUGAGAUCAUUAUUGGUGGAAGAUUUUCUAUCCGAAAAGCUUUUGAGUUAUAAAUACUAAUUGAAAUAUAAUAUUUUUCCAUUUAUAAGUGUACUCGUAAGUCUUAACAAUCAGUAUACCAACUGCUGAACAAAAUUUUAGCUGAAAAUGAAAUGCCACUGAUCUAUAAACUUUAAGGGCUACUCUUAGCUCAUUCAUAAACAGUACCACACAUUAUUAUUUAAUUUGUUAAGAUUCUUAUACACCUCUUUGUGUAAGCCCGGUAUGUUUAGAAGUCUUGAUUUAUGUUUCUUUUACUUUCAAAAAGAUAGGCUAUUCCCAGCACAGCAUAAACCAGAGCAAAAAACAAAGCAUGCCUGGUAGAUUUUCUUCUCAGCAGGUUUGUUUCAGAAUUUGUUAUUGAUGUUUUCAAUGAAUACAUUAGCUUAUUAAUUUUAUUGGGCUUGUUCAUCUGGAGACUGGAACUUUGAGGGUGUAUCCAAUAUUCAUUUUAUAUUGCUAUGGGAUUCGCCUUUUUGCAGGCUGCUAAGGAGACAUUGAAGAAAAAGGAAGAAAACUCAAAUAGGCAAGAACAGACUGAAUGCAAGGUUACUAUCAUUAUGGUUAUCUAUAGAUAUUUGUUGCUUCCAUUUUGGAUAUGCAUAUGAUCUUUUUUUCUUCUUUCCAAUCAUUUUUUUUGUUGUCCAU